UAUGGAGAGUUUGAUCCUGGCUCAGGAUGAACGCUGGCGGCGUGCCUAAUACAUGCAAGUCGAGCGAACRGACGAGAAGCUUGCUUCUCUGAUGUUAGCGGCGGACGGGUGAGUAACACGUGGAUAACCUACCUAUAAGACUGGGAUAACUUCGGGAAACCGGAGCUAAUACCGGAUAAUAUUUUGAACCGCAUGGUUCAAAAGUGAAAGACGGUCUUGCUGUCACUUAUAGAUGGAUCCGCGCUGCAUUAGCUAGUUGGUAAGGUAACGGCUUACCAAGGCAACGAUGCAUAGCCGACCUGAGAGGGUGAUCGGCCACACUGGAACUGAGACACGGUCCAGACUCCUACGGGAGGCAGCAGUAGGGAAUCUUCCGCAAUGGGCGAAAGCCUGACGGAGCAACGCCGCGUGAGUGAUGAAGGUCUUCGGAUCGUAAAACUCUGUUAUUAGGGAAGAACAUAUGUGUAAGUAACUGUGCACAUCUUGACGGUACCUAAUCAGAAAGCCACGGCUAACUACGUGCCAGCAGCCGCGGUAAUACGUAGGUGGCAAGCGUUAUCCGGAAUUAUUGGGCGUAAAGCGCGCGUAGGCGGUUUUUUAAGUCUGAUGUGAAAGCCCACGGCUCAACCGUGGAGGGUCAUUGGAAACUGGAAAACUUGAGUGCAGAAGAGGAAAGUGGAAUUCCAUGUGUAGCGGUGAAAUGCGCAGAGAUAUGGAGGAACACCAGUGGCGAAGGCGACUUUCUGGUCUGUAACUGACGCUGAUGUGCGAAAGCGUGGGGAUCAAACAGGAUUAGAUACCCUGGUAGUCCACGCCGUAAACGAUGAGUGCUAAGUGUUAGGGGGUUUCCGCCCCUUAGUGCUGCAGCUAACGCAUUAAGCACUCCGCCUGGGGAGUACGACCGCAAGGUUGAAACUCAAAGGAAUUGACGGGGACCCGCACAAGCGGUGGAGCAUGUGGUUUAAUUCGAAGCAACGCGAAGAACCUUACCAAAUCUUGACAUCCUUUGACAACUCUAGAGAUAGAGCCUUCCCCUUCGGGGGACAAAGUGACAGGUGGUGCAUGGUUGUCGUCAGCUCGUGUCGUGAGAUGUUGGGUUAAGUCCCGCAACGAGCGCAACCCUUAAGCUUAGUUGCCAUCAUUAAGUUGGGCACUCUAAGUUGACUGCCGGUGACAAACCGGAGGAAGGUGGGGAUGACGUCAAAUCAUCAUGCCCCUUAUGAUUUGGGCUACACACGUGCUACAAUGGACAAUACAAAGGGCAGCGAAACCGCGAGGUCAAGCAAAUCCCAUAAAGUUGUUCUCAGUUCGGAUUGUAA
rnacentral:rRNA from 1 species